rnacentral:rRNA from 1 species
GACGAACGCUGGCGGCGUGCUUAACACAUGCAAGUCGAGCGGAAAGGCCCUUCGGGGUACUCGAGCGUCGAACGGGUGAGUAACACGUGAGUAACCUGCCCCAGACUUUGGGAUAACCCUCGGAAACGGGGGCUAAUACCGGAUACGACACAGCUUCGCAUGGGGUCUGUGUGGAAAGUUUUUCGGUUUGGGAUGGGCUCGCGGCCUAUCAGCUUGUUGGUGGGGUGAUGGCCUACCAAGGCGACGACGGGUAGCCGGCCUGAGAGGGCGACCGGCCACACUGGGACUGAGACACGGCCCAGACUCCUACGGGAGGCAGCAGUGGGGAAUAUUGCACAAUGGGCGGAAGCCUGAUGCAGCGACGCCGCGUGAGGGAUGACGGCCUUCGGGUUGUAAACCUCUUUCAGCAGGGACGAAGCGUAAGUGACGGUACCUUCAGAAGAAGCGCCGGCCAACUACGUG